AAAAGUCGAGUUCGGGUGACGGCCCGCGCCGUGGUACCACUCUGCUAGCCAGAGGCGCGGUCAGCGGACCGGCCGACCACCGCGGACCAUCAGCGGACCAUCAGUGGACCAUUAGCGGACCAUCAGCGGACUAUCAGCGGACCAUCAGCGGACCAUCAGCGCGGACCAUCAGCGGACCAUCACAGGCCGUUCCUGGUGUGACCACUGCCGAGAGCGGUCUGACCGACUCCGCCGAUCCCAACGAUGGUGGGCAGGAUGGCCUGCUGGGCUGUGCUGGUGACUCAGGCGCUGUUGCUGAGCCCGGUGGCGACCUUAGGGGACGUGACGUCACCCAAAGCUCCUAAGGUAACCGUGCCGGAUCAGGAAUCCGACAAGGCCAUCGAUGUGAACAAGACCAGUCCGACGUCUUCAUUGGAUGGAGGGACAAUCAUUAUGACAAUCCCAGGCGGCAUUGUACACAAGCAAGGUCCGCCUCCCGCUCACCAGCCGGUCAAAAAGAAACGCUGCCAAAAACCAUGCAUCGGAAAAUUAUACCAUGCGUAUCAAACACACGCUGCUGCAGCUCCAAUCGACUCUUCUGUAUCUCAAAAUAAAACUGCCGGUGUUUUUGCCAGGGCUGCCCCAGCUCCUAGCAAGCCCUCGGCAGCUCCAAGAAGGGGUGCCCUCUUCCUGCCGUCCCGAGCUCGUACCGCAGUGGCAGUGCGAUUCGUUCGCACUCCCUGUAAACUCGUCAAGAAGCGCAACUGCUGCCUGAUCGAAACCCUCGGCAGUUACUCGUGCUCUUGUCUCAAGGUGGAUAAGAAGUGUUUCGAAAUUAAGAGGGUGAGGGUGCUUGUGCCGUUCGAGACCAUCUACCCACCGUGUCCGAAAUGCUACGAUCUGUGCGAUCACAACCGACGAAUAUGCUGCCGACUGUGGCCCUGCAAAUGACCGAUCCAAACACCGACCUGUGUUAUUAUUGGAAAUACAAAGUCCAGUUAA